rnacentral:rRNA from 1 species
UGCGUAGGCGGCGUUAUAAGUCGGAGGUGAAAGCUUGCAGCUUAACUGUAAAAUUGCCUCUGAUACUGUAGUGCUUGAAUCAGGUUGAGGUCAGCGGAAUGUGGCAUGUAGCGGUGAAAUGCAUAGAUAUGCCAUAGAACACUAAUUGCGAAGGCAGCUGGCUGGGCCUGUAUUGACGCUGAGGCACGAAAGCGUGGGUAGCGAACAGGAUUAGAUACCCUGGUAGUCC